GUGCCAGCCGCCGCGGUAAUACCGGCAGCCCGAGUGAUGGCCGAUAUUAUUGGGCCUAAAGCGUCCGUAGCUGGCCGAACAAGUCCGUCGGGAAAUCCGCGUGCUUAACACGUGGGUGACCGGCGGAAACCGUUCGGCUUGGGGCCGGAGGACCCGAGGGGUACGUCCGGGGUAGGAGUGAAAUCCUGUAAUCCUGGACGGACCGCCGGUGGCGAAAGCGCCUCGGGAAGACGGACCCGACAGUGGGGGACGAAAGCUGGGGUCUCGAACCGGAUUAGAAACCCUGGUAGUCC
rnacentral:rRNA from 1 species